rnacentral:rRNA from 1 species
GCUCAUGGCUCAGAACGAACGCUGGCGGCAGGCUUAACACAUGCAAGUUGAACGGGAUUUGUAUGGUGCUUGCACCAUGUAAUGAGAGUAGCGCACUGGUGAGUAACACGUGGGAACAUACCUUGAAGUGGGGGACAACAGUUGGAAACGACUGCUAAUACCGCAUAAUCCCUGAGGGGGAAAGAUUUAUCGCUUUAAGAUUGGCCCGCGGAAGAUUAGGUAGUUGGUGGGGUAAAGGCCUACCAAGCCG